GACGAACGCUGGCGGCGUGCUUAACACAUGCAAGUCGAACGGGCUUCUGGGGUUCUGGCUUUUUUGGUUGGGGUUCUGGGGGUUAGUGGCGAACGGGUGAGUAACACGUGAGUAACCUGCCCUUCACUUCUGGAUAACCGCUUGAAAGGGUGGCUAAUACGGGAUGUUUCUGGGUCUGUCGCAUGGCGGGUUCGGGAAAGAUGGCACUGUUUGGUGUUUUUGGUGGGGGAUGGGCUCGCGGCCUAUCAGCUUGUUGGUGGGGUGAUGGCCUGCCAAGGCUUUGACGGGUAGCCGGCCUGAGAGGGUGGGCGGUCACACUGGGACUGAGAUACGGCCCAGACUCCUACGGGAGGCAGCAGUGGGGAAUAUUGCACAAUGGGCGGAAGCCUGAUGCAGCGACGUCGCGUGAGGGAUGGAGGCCUUCGGGUUGUGAACCUCUUUCGCCAGGGAGGAAGGCCUUGCCCGUGUGGUGGGGUUGACGGUAGCUGGGGUAAUUGAAGCGCCGGCUAACUACGUG
rnacentral:rRNA from 1 species